rnacentral:rRNA from 1 species
UACGAAGGGGGCUAGCGUUGCUCGGAUUGACUGGGCGUAAAGGGCGCGUAGGCGGUUCGUACAGUCAGACGUGAAAUUCCUGGGCUCAACCUGGGGGCUGCGUUUGAUACGUGCGGACUUGAGUGCGGAAGAGGGUCGUGGAAUUCCCAGUGUAGCGGUGAAAUGCGUAGAUAUUGGGAGGAACACCAGUGGCGAAGGCGGCUACCUGGACCGGUUCUGACGCUGAUGCGCGAAAGCGUGGGUAGCAAACAGG